CUCUUCCGUGUGAGCGUGUGUAUUUACCGUCUUCAUCCACCUCGUCGAUCAUCUCCUGCAGCUCCUCAGGGGUGGGGUUCUGCCCCAGCAUCCUCAUCACCUUGCCCAGCUCCUUGGUGCUGAUGCAGCCAUCCUCUGCAUCCUGGACGAAGAUGUCAAAGGCUGCCUUGAACUCUGCAACACACAGCACAGCACAUGACCACGAAACACGCAGACGGAAUGAGCUCUAUCGACUGUGGGAUGGCAGCCUGACAGAGCCUGGAGAAGCCCACAUCAAUAGGAGCAUACGGAGUGCAGUUUUCACUGGAGCACUUCACCAAUUUCCUCUCACAGAGGAAGGGGCUGCUGACGAAAGAGCCAACCAUAUCUCCACACAUCAUGAUCAGACAGUGCAUCUCAAAUCCUCAAAUCACCCGCACACCGUCUUUUGAGAGGUUGCCAUAGAAACCCUGCCGGGUUGUAGCUGCAGACAAGGAGAGGAGAUGAGGAGAGCUAUUCCCCCCCCCCCCCCCCCGCCCCCGCCACAUUUUGUCCUCGCAGUCACUGUAUUCCUCGCUCUUCUUCUUUGCCUUUUGCACAGACGAAUGCACACACGCACACACAGGUUUGGCAUCAUUAUUUAUUCCCUGGUAACCGUGAUGAGAACCAUUUAUGCAAAUGUUAUGGAUGACUUAAUCCACGUGUCCAAAUGAUUGUAUUUCAUGUGUCAUAGCGAAGAUAAAAAUGAACUUUGUUUGGGUGCCUUGACUUGGGACGGAUCAGGUUAGGAAUAGUAUUCAAGGUUUGCACUAGCCUAGCCAGCAAAUACUGUAAGUUCAUAUGGUUGCUUCAAAAUAGGUUCAAUUCACCAUUUUGUUAGGUUAAAUGGUCUUUCUAUUGGAAAAGGGACAAAAUAUCAAAUCGUCCAUUUUUUGGCCCCUGCAUUCUUCAAACCAAGUGUGUAAUAUUGUUUUCAUGUUACAGCGUGCAACCACAGUUCCUCUGUUAGUGAUAUUUCAUUAAUUUUAUUGCAUAAAGGUUGUCAGAGAAA